rnacentral:rRNA from 1 species
UGCCCCCUGAAUUGUAGUCUGGAGAGGCGCCAUCGGCCACGCCCGGCGCUCAAGUCCCUUGGAACGGGGUAUCGGAGAAGGUGAGAAUCCUGUGCCGCGCCGGCGCGUGGCCGCACGAUGCGUUCUCGUAGAGUCGGGCUGCUUGGGAGUGCAGCCUGAAGCGGGUGGUAAAUUCCAUCUAAAGCUAAAUACUGGCGAGAGACCGAUAGCGAACAAGUACCGUGAGGGAAAGAUGCAAAGAACUUUGAAAAGAGAGUUAAAGAGUGCUUGAAAUUGGCAGGAGGAAACCCGGUUGCGCGUGGCAUCGCGCGGCGUCGACUCAGCCGUCUUCGCGGCCUGUAGGGGACCUAACGGCUCCGUGGUUGAAGAAGGCGGUGCACUUCGGCGUCGCGGGUCAGCCGCGGCUCGGCGGGGGCAAYACGGCGUUUGGCAGGGCUUCGGCGUCGCCUUUCGUGAUGGCCCGCGCUGGGCUCCGGCUGAUGCGCACGGGCGCAACCGACCCGUCUAGAAACACGGACCAAGGAGUCUGACGCGUGUGCGAGUACCCGGGUGGCAAGCCCGCGUGCGCAAUGAAAGUGAAGGGCGUGCCCCGCCAACCGACCUUGAUCUUCUGUGAAGGGUUUGAGUGGAGCACACGAGUCGGGACCCGAAAGAUGGUGAACUAUGCCUGAGGAGGGUGAAGCCAGAGGAAACUCUGGUGGAGGCUCGUAGCGAUACUGACGUGCAAAUCGUUCGUCGAACUUGGGUAUAGGGGCGAAAGACUAAUCGAACCAUCUAGUAGCUGGUUCCCUCCGAAGUUUCCCUCAGGAUAGCUUGAACGCCGACGGUUUUGUCAGGUAAAGCGAAUGAUUAGAGGCCUUGGGGCUGAAACAGCCUUAACCUAUUCUCAAACUUUAAAUGGGCAAGAGGCGAGGGAUG